UAUGUUUAUUAUGCAAUGUGGAAUGUUUAUUAUUGAAUGUGGAAAAUAAAGGACUGUUUAAUUUUCCCACAAUGUUUGCAUCCUCAGGUUUAUUAACAGCCCCAUGUGCCCUUUUUUCAAUAACCUCAGCAUUUUUAAAAGGUUUAUACAGUACCAUAUACCUUACCAUCACAAUGCCAGCAGUUCUAUAUUUUUAUUUAGUGAAUACACUAACUUAUUUACAUUUCCCUGGCUGGAUUUUACUACCUAAAAACCGUUUGCAACAAUGGUAACUACAAUAAGAUUAAACUUGUAAAGUGUUGGUCAUACUGGACAGUAGGAACAUAUAUAUCUGAGCCGUGUGAUUCAGAAUGUCCCAGUGCAUCCAUGGUGCCCUCAGUGCUACCAGUUGUUUGGGGCUCAACACAUCGCCAGUUUCAGGAAAAAUGACCCCACAGUGUGGGUCAUCAAGCAGUCCACUGUCAUCCCAGUCAAUAUGAGGCAGGCAAGACCCUGCACAAAAGAUGGAGACAUAUAAAGAAUAAAAAAGAGGCCAUGAUUUUGUUGCUACAACUUGCUGAAUAUAAUUUAAUUCAUGGAGAAAAAAUGACUCCUAAAUCCAUGAUUUAUUUGGAAGGACCUUAAUAAACAGAUUUCAAAGAAAACAGUUUCAAUGCCACCUCUCUGAUGUACUCGAUGUUUUGUUGUAUUGGAGUGAUCAGAUAAAUGAUCAGAUAAUUUCAUUUCUGGUUUGAAAUAUAGGCAUUAAUGUGUGAAACUAUAAUUGCAAGCACAAAAAAUAAUCCUUUUUCAUCCUUUUUCUACGACAGCAUGCUGGAUGCUUCUCAUCUCCCAUAACUGACUGAGUGUUAGAUUCCCCUCUGUUCUGAGUGAAUGGUCAUCCCAGCCACUGCUGAUGGUGUCAAACCUUGCUUGUAGUCUUGGGACAAAUAAAUUUAGUUUGACAGGUCAAGCAAAUUGUUGUCGUUUUGUGAGUGAGAACAAAUUUGAAACUUCUUUCUUUUAAAGGGCAGCUAAAGAUAUUUUAAAGCUGCUUACAAUUAUGUUUGACUGUGUAUGAAUGGUUAGGAAAAAUACUCCCAUCUAGUGUUGAAAAUGAUAACUGUUUUUCCAUCAUAACACAUUAAAAUAAUUGUCGAAAUAAAAUGUUUUUGAUAACCUUUGAUCCUCUAUGUGUGAAGAAUUUAUGGAGGAACUUUGAAUGACAUAACUGUAAACCUGUAGGAAUAGUUCCAUCACAUGUGACUCAAGAAAAUAUGAGAAAAUGACAUCUUUGAUGAAAAACUUUCUGUAUUAACCACUGUUGGGGUACGUGCACUGCCCGCCACCAGCUACCGCAGAAGCUGUCACGCAUCUUCCCCGCCCAUCCACUGGGCGAUACACAUGAAUGUGAUUGGUUGCAGUCUACCAUGAUUCACAAAAAGAUUUGGUGCAGAUGAUUACUUUUUAACAAAUUAAAAGUUUUAUUUUGUGAUUUUAACGGUUGUUCAAAUUCCUUUGUCCACCAUGGAAUAAUCUUAUUUUUAAGCUUACCUUCUUUCUUAUUAAUUGAGUUUUCUGCAGGCUCUAGAAUAACUUUACAUAAUGAAAUAUUAAAAAAUUCAUUACUUCAUUUUUAUCAAUUUUUCCAUCUUCUUAGUUACUAGUAUUUCUAAAUGUAUCCCAAUUAGCACUACUGAAUGACUAUUUCUGCAAUCCUACUGUUUUAUAUUUCUUUAUAUUCAAUCCUAUUACUGUAAUAAUUGGAUAAUGGUCAUUUUCUGCUGUUGUUCCUCUGACUGCUUCCCAUGUACAAAUGUCCUCUAAUGAAUCUGAGACUAAUGUGAGAUCUAGUGCUGUUUCUGUAACUGUUCUGAUAUUUAAUCUUGUUCCACUUUUUUUAUUUAAACACACUAAAUUUGUCAUCUCCAUCAUCUUCUCAAUAACCAUUUCUACUAGCAUCAUUACUGUUGCCCCAUAAUGUGCUAUGUGCAUUAAAAGCCCCACAACAAAUUACCUUCCCUACUAACUGUACCACCAGUUCCUUUAUCUAUUCUAAAAACAAUUCUUUACAUGGAUUAUAAAAGUUCACAAUUUUGAUAUUUUCUUGUGUAGUCCAUACUUCAAUUAUUAAAUAUUCCAAGUCUUUCCCUUUCCCUAAAACUCUAUAUUGCAUUCUUGUUUUAUAAAUAUUAAACAUUCUCCUGAACUACCCUCCUCCCUAUCUGUACAGAUAUUAUUGUACCGUUUAAUAAGAAAUUCUAAUUUUGACUUAAGCCAUGUUUCUUAAAUACAUAUAUCUGGUUUAUUUUUUAAAUCUUUAAUAAAUCCCUUAUCUCCUGACCAAUUGCUAUUAUUUUGAUUGCAUUUCAUUAUACAAUAAUCAGUUAGCCUUUUGACUUGGAUUUCCUGCUUUCCCAUCUGCUUCAAGUCUUGUUCUGAUUUGCUCUCAAGAUACAUAUUUUAUGCCUAAAAACUUCUCAGCUCCCAUAACAAUUUUUUUAAUUUUUUUAGUUUUGUGUUCAUCUUGAUCAGUACAGUUGAUCAUGUAUGCCAUAAGCAAAAUAAUCUUAUCCACUGACAGUUGUGGAUUUGUUUUCUCUGUUUGUCCUUGUUCCAUUCUUGACACCUGGAUAACCUUGUCAGUUUCCUUCCUUCCUUUUUGUACUUGUACUUUCUUUAGUGCUUCUGCAUAAAAUAUGUUGUUAAUUGCAUUAACCUGAUGUAUUUUCACAGCCCUCUUUCUAACUUCACAUCUUCCAUUUGUUACCCUGUGUUGGACACCACAAUUGCAACAGUUAUCCUGCACAUUUUCCUUACGAUCUUCCACUCUAUGCUCACUUGUACAAUUAGGACAUCUCUGCUUACCUUUGCAAAUUACUGCUAUAUGUUCAUACUUCUGGCAUUUGUAACAUUGUAGUGGUGUGGAAAUGUAGGGCCUAACUGGAAAGCUCAUGCAUUUUAUUUUUAGUUUUUAUGGAAGCUCGGCUCCUGAAACUCCAGAAGAACUAACAAGCUCACAACAUUUUUAACAUUUACUGUUCUCAACAGUUUCUGAAUUCUGCUCAUCCUCGCCUCCAUUAAUACUGUGUUUGAGUGUGUUCAAUUCUUUUUCCACCUGUAUCUCUGUUAUCACUCCCCUUGUCACUAUACUGUCACCCAUAAUAUUUCUCUCAAUAUUUAUUUUCUUGAACACACUUUCAACUUCCCCCAUUUUGUUUUUCUGUUCCUCUGUUGUAUGCUAUUAACAGGCUACCAUCUCUCAAAAUCUCUCAGAAUCCUAUCUUUUAGAAUCCUUGUCAUUUUUUCCACAUGUUGUUUACGAAGUAUUUUGGGAUUUAUUGUUAUGAAUGAAAAAGGAUAUUGUAGGAUAUAGAUAAAAAGUGAGUGUGAUUGUUGAAAUUGGUCUUUUUACUCUUUUCAAGUUAUCACACCAUUAGAAGUUGGUUUAUUGUGUUGAAUUGACAACGUACUGAGUUAUUUCACACAUUUUUCAACAACUGUCUUCAGAACAUAGUAGAGGGGUCUUGACAGUGGGGGGCGUGAACUUCUAGGCAGAUGGGAAGGGUUCAAAAGAUCGUUUCAAGCCUUGUUAGAAGCAAAGGGUAAGAAGGUAUGAAGCUGUUGAUUUCAGGAAGAAUGGUGCUUUAAGUAGUGUGCUUCACAUAUAGCAAUGAGCUGGAAAUGGCUUAGGCCUGGGAUGAAAUUUGCAAUUUAAUGGUGUAAGUGUUGGCUUUGUAGUGAAUAGGGAGGUGGGAUUACAGAUCGUUGUGUUUGAUGUGAAACAGGCAGUGGUGGUUAGUUUAGAGGGGAAAAGGGGACGUCUUAUUGUGAUAUAAAAGCAAGGAUUCCAAUGAAAAUGAAAUUAUUGUGUUUUAAGAGAAGGUUGUAUCAUUUGGAAAGCAGUUUUGGUGAGAAUAGUUAGAAGGUUUGUGCGGUUUUGUGGUUGAUUUUACAGAGUUGGGAUAUGUUAUAUGUAAAGAGUAUGCUGUUGUUGUGAUCAACUAAUGUGUUUUCUUUUUUAUUAAGAUGAUGGAUAAUGAUUCUCCUUCAAAGUUUCCUGUAUUUAAAGAUGCUGAAAUACAACAGUUACGGGGUGAGGCUCAACUUGCAAGUGUGAGUAUUGAAUUAUUUUCCCUAUUUUUAUGGAGUAAGUUUGUGUAAAGGUAAUAAUUUAAAAGAUUUUUAUGUGUUGGUAUUGUGGGGGGCACAAUUGGUUGAAGUCAUGACAAUGUAUAAGUUUAAAAGGUUGUAUAUAGAAGAUUUUGUACUGUGUGAAAAGUGUGAAAAUAGAUGUCAGUGUUUAGAAUGUUGGAGAAAGAUAAAAUCUGUUUUUUAUUCACUUUGUAUGCAAUGAUGUAGUGCAUGAUUGUUUUAAGAAGCAAUGUGUAGUAAUAAAUACAUUUUGUUGUGUAUGGAAUUUUUUGAAAUAUGUGUUAUGUAGUAUUGUUAUAUGUGGGGUUGGUAACUUUAUUUUUCCUUUAUAUAUGCAGUAUUCUGUCUUGGAUGUCUCAGUUGGACGUGAAGAGUCUUUUAAAAUUGUUGGUAGUACAUUUAACAAGUUUUUGGUUGAACGUGGUCGGCAAGCUCAAAUAAGGAAGAAAUUAGAACAGCAGCUGGAAUACUACAAGGGAGAAAAAACAAAGGAUGCUAAAAUUAUUCAGGCCUUAAAGGAGAAAGUGGACAUAUAUGAAGGAGGUGCAGCUUUUAUGCAGGAUGAUGCUGUUUGGGAGAUACAAUCAACAGAAGACACCAUUAAGGGAAUCUGUGAUGUUCAGAAAACUGCAGAAGUCUGUUUGGUGAUAGAAAAAAUCCCGGAUUAUGUUGAACCUGAGAAAACAAAGGAUGAUGGUGAUAUUCAAGCAUCUACAGAAGUGGGUCCCCUGAAAUCCAAAAGAAUAAAGAAGAGUUUGGGGAAGGAAUAAUGUAUGAAGUUGUAAUGUAACAACGAUCCAUUUUGAAGUGGAGCAGGAGUGUUUUGUAAUGUUAGCUUUGUAUAGUUUGAAAGCUGUUUGUAAUUGUAUAGGUUUAUGUUGUUGUAAAAUAUAGUGUUCUGUGUAUUUUUUAAGAAAUUUGUUGUUUAUUUUGAUUGUAAUGUAAAGAUUUUUGGUUCAAAUAAAUACAUUAUAGUAUCUUUGUGGUAUUUGUUUUAAUGCACCACACAUGUAAAUGUUUUGUGUAAGUAGUAGUGUUGAAAAAUUACGUCUAUAAUGAAUUGCUGCUUACAUAUAAUAUCACAAUAAAAGUGUAUUAAGUUAAGGUAAGUGAACAACAGAUAUCAGUAAAUAGAUUUAGAGUAUGUGUAAGUAUGGUAAAAUGAUGUUAGCAGCCAAGUGAUUUUGGCUUCAGAUAAAAGUUGCAGAAGUUUUGACAAAGUUAGGUGUGUUAUUUUUAAAUAUAGGUAAUAAUUGUAGUAAGUUUUUUUCACUGUACAAUGUGCAAAAUAUAUAUAGGUCCACAUCACAGUUUAAUGGGUAUGAGCGUUGUAGCAAGUGAGAUCUAUUGUGUGAUUUAGAUUAGUCUUUUAUGUACUAAUAACAGGUCUGUAGUCCCUAUAUUUUGUAGGGAAAUUGUUGCUGAUAUUCAAAAUAACCCUGCAGGAGUUACUAAAAAACAAAACAAAGACUCUUCAGUUGACCAUGAUUACCUCCAAUAACAGUAUUUACAUUUGUAUGAACACAUGUAAACAUGUAUUUAAACUGUGUUCAGAUUUUCAGAUUGUAUUCAGAGGCUGAGAGCAACAGUGAAAGAAUUGCAUUGGCACUUUUAAAGACAGAGCACAGACACCUUAACAGUGGGGGGCUAGGUAGUCUUGUAGCCAGACGGGAAAGGUUUAGAUGAUCUUUCACAUUGUUUUGAGAAGCAAACUUUGAAGUGGUAUGAGGCUGUUGAUUUUUGGGAUAACGAGGCUCAAAGUACUGUUGGUUUCAUAUGCAAAUGGAGGUGGGAAUGGCUGUGGCAAGGGCAGUGGCGAAUUAAAGUGGUCAGGGGCCCCUAAACUACUUUUUGUGUGGCCCCCUCCUAAACUGCUUUACCAGAAAAUAAAUUAUUUUGUGCCAUGUGUAAAAGGGUACACCUAAAUUACACGUCUCAAGUGCAACACUCUCUUAGUCUGCAGUCCAAAACACAUUCAGACAUUAGCCUAUUAUAAAUAGCAAUGCCACCGAAAAAAUCAUGACUGUGUCCCCUGAAAGGUAGUCCUCGCUCUGCUAAGAACUUUACAACCACAACCAUCUUCUUUAAAACCUCAGUCCAAUAUUCUUAUUCAUUGUCAAAUUGUUUUUUUAGUUCUGAUUUUAUACACCCAGCUUCAGCACAGUGCAUUACAUAAGCAAUCAUAGCCUUUCUGUGACUCUCUGAUCCUUCAUUUUCAGCCAAACAUGUGGCGGCAUUUUUCCACUCACUAUAACCUGCUGUGAGUGUAGACUUC